CGCGUAGGCGGUCUGGUAAGUCCGAUGUUAAAGACCGGGGCUCAACCCCGGCAUGGCGUUGGAUACUGGCAGGCUUGACGGCUGGAGAGGCGAGUGGAAUUACCAGUGUAGCGGUGGAAUGCGUAGAUACUGGUAGGAACACCCAUUGCGAAGGCAGCUCGCUGGACAGCACGUGACGCUGAGGCGCGAAAGUGUGGGGAGCAAACC
rnacentral:rRNA from 1 species